AAUUGGACCUAAGGGAUCAAGAUCGAGUCAAGAGUUGAAGACGAUCAAACCAAUUGACGUGCAUGUGCUUGUAAAAUGACCCCAUCCUGGAUCUAUGAUCAUCACCAUUAAUUUUAUUUUUGAUAAAUGCCUGGAUGUUUAAUGCUUAUGAUUAUGCGGGUAGAUUUAUAUUUGCAUGAGAUGUGAAUACGCGAUCGAGUGAGACCUAAUUCGAAACCUCCCUAAUCAGUCAAGGGUGAACCAACAUGAGUUAG
rnacentral:lncRNA from 1 species